CAGACAAGCCUAGCGUCUACAUGCACUGUACAGGCGACAUCGAUCACUGUUGCAUGUGAUGACACUUGAACAGCUAGUCCGCCUCUGGCGACACAGUCGACAGUCGGCUUCAUUUCGGAGUUGGCGUGGUAUCAGCGGAAAGAUGGGCCCGCAAUGAUUUUAGACCUACUCGUACAUCUACUAGUACGUGUUGAUGUGCACGAGUAGCACUGUACUUUUGUAGUGUGGAGCAGGCAGUAGAAUCUGAUGUCAUGUUGUACAGUCAUGUACAUAAUCUACGCGUAAAUCUACAACUUUUGCCAGAUCAGACAGAUGAAUGAAGCCACAGAGCUCUGGCCGCUGGAGCGUGCAGCGAACGUGUAGAGAGGAUCUUGGACUGCUGCACCGUCCGCGCUUCAGUUCAAUGCGGAAUCGUUUUUUUCUUGCUCGUUGCCGUCUGUAGGUGUUCUGGGCGGAUGCGUGUUCUGCUUGCGGCCCUUCAUUAUUGUUAUUUUCUGGGAGUUUGAGUGACGCUCCGUCGCAAUCCGGUUGCGGAAGUUCAGCGCUUUCGUUCGUUACCUGCCAAUCGGCAGGUGGCGUUUAGAUUUGUGGGACUACCUAUCGUCCGGGUCAACGUUACCAGAAUAGCAGACGCCGGACAAGAACCAUCCGGCCGCUUUCGGGAGCAGGUGCUUCUCCCUGGCUUGAAGUCAGAGUGGUGAAUGGAUGUCCAGUAAAUGCUGUGAUUGAUACAGGAUCCGCCGCUACAUUGUUGUCAGAGGAUUUUGCUGACCGCCUACCUAAGGAGCGGGAAAAGGAAACCUCAGACCAAGGCCCGAAGUAAAUUGGUGCCAACGGACAACCACCGCCGCCCGAGACGAGGAGGACACCGCUCGGGUAUUUGACAGUGCUCCGCCAGUUGGCGUGAUGGAAAGGCGAACCACGCGUUCCCGCCAUCCGCCCCAGCUGUUUGGGAGUCCUGUGUGGCACUAAUGAGUGACUUCAGUGGUACUGACUGGAUUGGUUGUGUUCUAUAUUAAAGUUAGUUUUUGGAACAAUUUUGGUAGGGACUCCAAUUUCACCUGCACUCGUGAAGUUAAAAUUGUUAGCCAUAAUCUUAGUUUAAUUUAUUAAGUUACGUAUAACACAAGGACGUGUUCUUUUCCGUGUAAGCGGGGGGAUAUGUCGUAUCCAUACUAUUGACACGUGCCUUUCAGGCCUCUACGUGACAAUUCUGCCUUAUUUAGGUGUCUCAUUAUUUAUUUAUCUCCCGUAAACGGAUUCAUAAUCGCCUUUAUUUUAUGUCUUCACACAAAGCCUGCCGCCUUCCUUAUUUGGUAUACCCUGUUAUUCCUUAGCUGGCUCCUGCUCUUUGUGAUACAGUUUAUACAUAUUAUUGCUAAGGUUUGGUACACUGCGGCAUGCGGAUGUACUAUGGUUCAUUAUUUGUCCUAUAGUUCGUAUGGGGGGGGGGGGGGAUCAGCCUCCUGCCCGUAGUUAGAUAUUAUAGCAAUCGCCUUUCUCUCUCUCUCUCUCUCUCUCUCUCUCUCUCUCUCUCUCUCUCUCUCUCUCUCUCUCUCUCUCUCUCUCUCUCCCUCUUGCCUUCCGCCUUCAGGCGGAAGCUUCGGCUUUCGUCUCUCUUGCCUUGUGCUCUCAUAUCAUCUCUUGAACUAAGUUGCCUUCGUUGAAGAUGUGAGUAAACCUGAA